rnacentral:lncRNA from 1 species
AAAAAUGUAUAUAGAAUAUUGCCUGGCAGUGAGAUGUUAGAAAUGGUUUUGAGGUUUGACCAGCCGGUCAUAGGAUACCAUGGCAAUUCUAGGUGGCAUCUGGGGAACUGGCCAGAGGGUUUCUGAGUAGAAGUCUCGGGGUUGUACAGUAGUGGACCUGUGAGUUGCUCGGAUGGAUGGUACGCAGCCCGAAAAAAAGAAAAAAAAGGGGGAAGAGUGUUGUAGACCUGGAGAUAUUAAGGUAGUCUAACUAGUUGAGUAAGGGAAGAUCUUCUUUGGCUCAAUUGGUUAGAGCGCUGCCUUAAGAUCCCAAGAUUGAGGGUUCAAAUCUCGCUGGUACCAUCCAUAGAUUU